rnacentral:pre_miRNA from 2 species
GUGAAUAUGGCCUGGGGAUUUUGUUAAAAUUCAGAUUCUGACUUAGGUCUUUGAAGCCUGAAAUUCUGCAUUUCUAACAAGCUCCCAAGUGAUGCUGAU